UAAGCGACUAAGCGUACACGGUGGAUGCCCUGGCAGUCAGAGGCGAUGAAGGACGUGCUAAUCUGCGAUAAGCGUCGGUAAGGUGAUAUGAACCGUUAUAACCGGCGAUUUCCGAAUGGGGAAACCCAGUGUGUUUCGACACACUAUCAUUGACUGAAUCCAUAGGUUAAUGAGGCGAACCGGGGGAACUGAAACAUCUAAGUACCCCGAGGAAAAGAAAUCAACCGAGAUUCCCCCAGUAGCGGCGAGCGAACGGGGAGCAGCCCAGAGCCUGAAUCAGUGUGUGUGUUAGUGGAAGCGUCUGGAAAGGCGCGCGAUACAGGGUGACAGCCCCGUACACAAAAAUGCACAUGCUGUGAGCUCGAUGAGUAGGGCGGGACACGUGGUAUCCUGUCUGAAUAUGGGGGGACCAUCCUCCAAGGCUAAAUACUCCUGACUGACCGAUAGUGAACCAGUACCGUGAGGGAAAGGCGAAAAGAACCCGGCGAGGGGAGUGAAAAGAACCUGAAACCGUGUACGUACAAGCAGUGGGAGCCUCUUUAUGGGGUGACUGCGUACCUUUUGUAUAAUGGGUCAGCGACUUAUAUUCUGUAGCAAGGUUAACCGAAUAGGGGAGCCGAAGGGAAACCGAGUCUUAACUGGGCGUUAAGUUGCAGGGUAUAGACCCGAAACCCGGUGAUCUAGCCAUGGGCAGGUUGAAGGUUGGGUAACACUAACUGGAGGACCGAACCGACUAAUGUUGAAAAAUUAGCGGAUGACUUGUGGCUGGGGUGAAAGGCCAAUCAAACCGGGAGAUAGCUGGUUCUCCCCGAAAGCUAUUUAGGUAGCGCCUCGUGAAUUCAUCUCCGGGGGUAGAGCACUGUUUCGGCAAGGGGGUCAUCCCGACUUACCAACCCGAUGCAAACUGCGAAUACCGGAGAAUGUUAUCACGGGAGACACACGGCGGGUGCUAACGUCCGUCGUGAAGAGGGAAACAACCCAGACCGCCAGCUAAGGUCCCAAAGUCAUGGUUAAGUGGGAAACGAUGUGGGAAGGCCCAGACAGCCAGGAUGUUGGCUUAGAAGCAGCCAUCAUUUAAAGAAAGCGUAAUAGCUCACUGGUCGAGUCGGCCUGCGCGGAAGAUGUAACGGGGCUAAACCAUGCACCGAAGCUGCGGCAGCGACGCUUAUGCGUUGUUGGGUAGGGGAGCGUUCUGUAAGCCUGUGAAGGUGUGCUGUGAGGCAUGCUGGAGGUAUCAGAAGUGCGAAUGCUGACAUAAGUAACGAUAAAGCGGGUGAAAAGCCCGCUCGCCGGAAGACCAAGGGUUCCUGUCCAACGUUAAUCGGGGCAGGGUGAGUCGACCCCUAAGGCGAGGCCGAAAGGCGUAGUCGAUGGGAAACAGGUUAAUAUUCCUGUACUUGGUGUUACUGCGAAGGGGGGACGAGAAGGCUAUGUUGGCCGGGCGACGGUUGUCCCGGUUUAAGCGUGUAGGCUGAUUUUCCAGGCAAAUCCGGAAAAUCAAGGCUGAGGCGUGAUGACGAGGCACUACGGUGCUGAAGCAACAAAUGCCCUGCUUCCAGGAAAAGCCUCUAAGCAUCAGGUAACAUCAAAUCGUACCCCAAACCGACACAGGUGGUCAGGUAGAGAAUACCAAGGCGCUUGAGAGAACUCGGGUGAAGGAACUAGGCAAAAUGGUGCCGUAACUUCGGGAGAAGGCACGCUGAUAUGUAGGUGAAGUCCCUCGCGGAUGGAGCUGAAAUCAGUCGAAGAUACCAGCUGGCUGCAACUGUUUAUUAAAAACACAGCACUGUGCAAACACGAAAGUGGACGUAUACGGUGUGACGCCUGCCCGGUGCCGGAAGGUUAAUUGAUGGGGUCAGCGCAAGCGAAGCUCUUGAUCGAAGCCCCGGUAAACGGCGGCCGUAACUAUAACGGUCCUAAGGUAGCGAAAUUCCUUGUCGGGUAAGUUCCGACCUGCACGAAUGGCGUAAUGAUGGCCAGGCUGUCUCCACCCGAGACUCAGUGAAAUUGAACUCGCUGUGAAGAUGCAGUGUACCCGCGGCAAGACGGAAAGACCCCGUGAACCUUUACUAUAGCUUGACACUGAACAUUGAGCCUUGAUGUGUAGGAUAGGUGGGAGGCUUUGAAGUGUGGACGCCAGUCUGCAUGGAGCCGACCUUGAAAUACCACCCUUUAAUGUUUAAUGUUCUAACGUGGACCCGUAAUCCGGGUUGCGGACAGUGUCUGGUGGGUAGUUUGACUGGGGCGGUCUCCUCCUAAAGAGUAACGGAGGAGCACGAAGGUUGGCUAAUCCUGGUCGGACAUCAGGAGGUUAGUGCAAUGGCAUAAGCCAGCUUGACUGCGAGCGUGACGGCGCGAGCAGGUGCGAAAGCAGGUCAUAGUGAUCCGGUGGUUCUGAAUGGAAGGGCCAUCGCUCAACGGAUAAAAGGUACUCCGGGGAUAACAGGCUGAUACCGCCCAAGAGUUCAUAUCGACGGCGGUGUUUGGCACCUCGAUGUCGGCUCAUCACAUCCUGGGGCUGAAGUAGGUCCCAAGGGUAUGGCUGUUCGCCAUUUAAAGUGGUACGCGAGCUGGGUUUAGAACGUCGUGAGACAGUUCGGUCCCUAUCUGCCGUGGGCGCUGGAGAACUGAGGGGGGCUGCUCCUAGUACGAGAGGACCGGAGUGGACGCAUCACUGGUGUUCGGGUUGUCAUGCCAAUGGCACUGCCCGGUAGCUAAAUGCGGAAGAGAUAAGUGCUGAAAGCAUCUAAGCACGAAACUUGCCCCGAGAUGAGUUCUCCCUGACUCCUUGAGAGUCCUGAAGGAACGUUGAAGACGAUGACGUUGAUAGGCCGGGUGUGUAAGCGCAGCGAUGCGUUGAGCUAACCGGUACUAAUGAACCGUGAGGCUUAACCU
rnacentral:rRNA from 1 species